UACGAAGGGAGCUAGCGUUGUUCGGAAUCACUGGGCGUAAAGCGCACGUAGGCGGAUGUGUCAGUCAGGGGUGAAAUCCCGGAGCUCAACUUCGGAACUGCCUUUGAUACAGCACGUCUUGAGUCCGGAAGAGGUGGGUGGAAUUCCUAGUGUAGAGGUGAAAUUCGUAGAUAUUAGGAAGAACACCGGUGGCGAAGGCGGCUCACUGGCCCGGUACUGACGCUGAGGUGCGAAAGCGUGGGGAGCAAACAGG
rnacentral:rRNA from 1 species